rnacentral:rRNA from 1 species
UACGGAGGGUGCGAGCGUUGUCCGGAAUCAUUGGGCGUAAAGGGCGCGUAGGUGGCGGGACAAGCGUGCGGUGAAAGCUCGGGGCUCAACCCCGAGUCGGCCGUGCGAACUGUUUUGCUUGAGCACUGUAGAGGCAGGCGGAAUUCCUGGUGUAGCAGUGAAAUGCGUAGAUAUCAGGAGGAACACCGAUGGCGAAGGCAGGUCUCUGGGCUGACACUGACGCUCAUGCACGAAAGCGUGGGGAGCAAACAGG